UACGUAGGGUGCGAGCGUUAAUCGGAAUUACUGGGCGUAAAGCGUGCGCAGGCGGCCCUCCAAGUCAGGCGUGAAAGCCCCGGGCUCAACCCGGGAAUAGCGCUUGAGACUGGGGGGCUUGAGUUCGGGAGAGGAGAGUGGAAUUCCCAGUGUAGAGGUGAAAUUCGUAGAUAUUGGGAAGAACACCGGUGGCGAAGGCGGCUCUCUGGACCGACACUGACGCUGAGGCGCGAAAGCGUGGGGAGCGAACAGG
rnacentral:rRNA from 1 species